GCAUUGGUGGUAUAGUGGUGAGCAUAGCUACCUUCCAAGCUAGUUGACCUGGGUUCAAUUCCCAGCUAAUGCA